rnacentral:rRNA from 1 species
UACGCAGGUGGCGAGCGUUGUCCGGAUUUAUUGGGUUUAAAGGGUGCGUAGGCGGGCGGCUAAGUCAGGGGUGAAAGACGGUGGCUCAACCAUCGCAGUGCCUUUGAUACUGGCCGCCUUGAGUGCGGGCGAGGUCUGCGGAAUGGACCGUGUAGCGGUGAAAUGCUCAGAUACGGUCCGGAACACCGAUUGCGAAGGCAGCAGACUGGGGCGCAGCUGACGCUGAGGCACGAAAGCGUGGGGAUCGAACAGG